CCAUGCUAGAUGGGGAGUUAGCGAUACCCUGUAACUCGCAAUUCGCUACAGCGAGGUUGAAUCCCCGCCCGAGAUAUUUUCAGGGAAGGUCAGCAUGCUUCAGUGGGGCGAUGAGAGUCGGGUCCUAUACAAUAGGAACCUGUGAACCUGGUCAGGACGGGAACGUAGCAGCCAUAAACAGUGCUUUCUAUGUGUUAUAGGAGUGCCUGACUUGAGUUCUUGUUGGAGCAAUAGCGCUUGUUUGAUUAUACCGGAGGCGGGUGCAUGG
rnacentral:SRP_RNA from 1 species